rnacentral:rRNA from 1 species
GACGAACGCUGGCGGCGUGCUUAACACAUGCAAGUCGAACGGAAAGGCCCCUUUGGGGGUACUCGAGUGGCGAACGGGUGAGUAACACGUGAGUAACCUGCCCUUGACUUCGGGAUAACUUCAGGAAACUGGGGCUAAUACCGGAAAGGAAUCCUUGCGGCAUGGUGGGGGUUGGAAAGCUUCGGCGGGUUUGGAUGGACUCGCGGCUUAUCAGCUUGGUGGUGGGGUGGUGGCUUACCAAGGCUUUGACGGGGAGCCGGCCUGUGAGGGCGACCGGCCACAUUGGGACUGAGAUACGGCCCAGACUCCUACGGGAGGCAGCAGUGGGGAAUAUUGCACAAUGGGCGGAAGCCUGAUGCAGCAACGCCGCGUGCGGGAUGACGGCCUUCGGGUUGUAAACCGCUUUCAGCAGGGGCGAAGCUUGUGGUGACGGUACCUGCAGAAGAAGCACCGGCUAACUACGUG